rnacentral:RNase_P_RNA from 2 species
GUUAUAGACUGGACAAUCGCUAGAAAUAGAGGAAAGUCCGGACUCCUAGCGAAGAUGGUGCCCUGAAAGAUUUAUAUCAAUCAGGGGUACGUUUAAAAAGCGUAACGGAAAGUGCCACAGAAAAGAACCGCCGUCCGCCUCUGCUGUAAAGCUAUGGCGUGAUUGAGUAAGGGUGAAAAUGUGCGGUAAGAGCGCACAAUCUAGUCUAGAGAUAGGCUAAAUGGGUAAACCCCACCAGGAGCAAGACAAAGUAAGUAUAUGAGACUUCGCUCUCUUAUAUACGGGUGUGUCGCUUAGAUAAAUGGUUGUCACUCUUUAUAGAGUACAGAAUCCGGCUUAUAGGUUUAUAACGAGU